UGCCAUACAGUGAUUAAGCAUCUCAGGAAGACAAAUGGGACAAUAGGGGACAAGUCCAAAGAAUGCUUCUCUUGGUAUGUAUGUUCCUGGUUCCAGCUUUGCCACGUGGUGCUCAAAAGCGUGUGUAUUAUGGUCUGAUGACAUCAGAGGCAGAUGUUGGUGGUAUGGAAGUAGAGGUUGGACCUUCCCACUCCUAUUCCAUUGUGUUUUGUUGCUACAUGACAGAUGGCAGCAGAUGGGCAGUCUGACAAAAUGGCAUCUGACAUGGAAGUGCAUAUAAAGGAAAGUUGUAUUAACCAAAGCUCCUCCAGGAAUUCCUGCUGUCAGGCAGAUCUCCUGGUACAUGGUAGAAAAUUAAAGAAUCAGUGAAGAGCACCGUUCAAAAUCCAGUCAUCCUGGACUGGCUCUGAAACACAGAAAAGGACAGUUCUUUCUGAAAGAAGCCAUGGAAGAAUGUCAUUUCCUUCCUACAGUGUCCACCAUGCAUAUUAAAUACGAGGAGAGGAAGAUGAAGUGAAAGAGAAUUUGGCAUGAGGUGAAGGAAUAUUGAAGGACAGCAGAAUGCACAGUCAGGAGAAAGAAGUGGAAUAUGCUGCAGAAUGGAAUAAGACACAUUGUGGAAUAUACUGCAGAAACAAAUCUGCAUACAAAUUCAGAAUAGAAUACUGUGAAUAGGCAGUAAGAACUAAUAUGUUUAGUACUGCAAGGAGAUAAAAGGGCAAAUGAAAACUGAACCACAGCUAUCUGAUUUAGAGCACAGGAAAAUAAACUUGCACCCACCUACAUUUGUCUGGUUAUGCAUACCCUGUUAUGCAAACAACUAAAAUACUAAUUUCAGUUCAUUUUAAUUUCUUAC
ensembl:lncRNA